AAAUGGCUCGAAUUGUUCUCCAAAACAGAAUUUACUGAAAGAGCUUAUAGAGUCCAUGUCAGCAGAAGGAAAGAAAAGGAAGGAGAAGAAUUGAUACACCCUUUUUUAAAAAACCCCCAAGCCAAUAUUAAUGUAGUCUCAUUCAGGUUCUUAUUUUAGAGGGAAAAAAAUAGCAUCAAAAUGGAAAAUGGAGAGAAAGGAACAAGCCAAAACAAUUUAAGUGAUGAAAAAUGGGGGAACGGACAGAGCGAAGGGAAGAGGGAAAAGCUGGUUGUGUCUGGGUGGUUCAACACAUAUGUCUCAAGACUAAGGAGGACAGGUAGGUGUAGGGGAGAUGGAAUGCUGGGGAGUAGUGUCAGGAGCAGUGGGAUGACAGAAUUAGAUUUCUGCUUCAGGCCGGGUGAGGCGGCCUGUAAUCCCAGCACGUUGGGAAGCCGAGGCGGCAGAUCACCUGAGGUCAGGAGUUCAAGACCAACCUGGCCAACAUGGUGAAACCUGUCUCUACAAAAAUACAAAAAUUAGCCGGGCAUGAUGGCGGGUGCCUGUAAUCCCAGCUACUCGGGAGGCUGAGGCAGGAGAACCACUUGAACCUGGCAGGCGGAGCUUGCAGUGAGCCAAGAUCAUGCCAUUGCACUCCAGCUUGGGCGACAGAGCGAGACUCUGUCUAAAAAAAAAAAAAAAAAAAAGAUUUCUUUCUCAGAAAGAUGGCGGCAGGGCAGAAGGAGUGAGAGAGAAGCCAGAGAACCAGAUAAGAGACAGAACUACAGCCAAAAGUCAGGCUCUGGUUUCUGAGGUAGGAAUAACAAGAAGUGGUCAGGUGCAGUGGCUCAUGCCUGUAAUCCCAGCACUUUGAGAGGAGCCCAGGAGUUUGAGAUCAGCUUGGGCAAGAAAGUGAUACCCCAUCUCUACAAAAAGAUAAAAAAGUUAGCCAGUCAUGGUGGCACACAGCUGUGGUCCCAGCUACACGAGAGGCUGAGGCAGGAGGAUCACUUGAGCCUAGGAGGUCGAGGCU
rnacentral:lncRNA from 10 species